rnacentral:rRNA from 1 species
GACGAACGCUGGCGGCGUGCCUAAUACAUGCAAGUAGGACGCAGUUGCGAGCGGGUGCGUAACGCGUAGGUAACUACCUAUUAGAGGGGGAUAACUAUUGGAAACGAUAGCUAAUACCGCAUACUAGUGGGUGGACCUGCGUUGUAUUAGCUAGUAGGUAGGGGAAUGGCCUACCUAGGCAACGAUACAUAGCCGACCUUAGAGGGUGAUCGGCCAAACUGGGACUGGGGCAAGGGCCAGACUCCUACGGGAGGCAGCAGUAGGGAAUUAUCGGCAAUGGGGGGAAAGCUGACCGAGCAAAGCCGGGGGAGUGAAGAAGGUUUUCGGAGCGUAAAGCUCUGUUGUUAAGGAAGCGGUACUUAACCAGAAAGGGACGGCUAACUACGUGCCAGCAGCCGCGGUAAUUC